rnacentral:lncRNA from 1 species
GAGUACGGUUGGAAAGAGCAUCAUCGGAGUUCCAAGAUCCGGCAGUAGGGUGGGCCACUUGGGCUAGUCGUCCUAUCUUCCCCGAAAAGGGAAAUUCGUGGGUGGAGAGCCCUCAGUCUGAUCACGAUUCCACUCUCGAAGGAUCCCUACCUCCACUCUACCAGAAGACCCUCGAGACUCGCAUUCGAGAGGACCUCCUAGAUCGAAGGCUCCAGGAGAUGAACC